GACGAACGCUGGCGGCGUGCUUAACACAUGCAAGUCGAACGAUGAAGCCGGAGCUUGCUCCGGUGGAUUAGUGGCGAACGGGUGAGUAACACGCGAGCAAUCUGCCCUUGACUCUGGGAUAACUGCGGGAAACUGUAGCUAAUACCGGAUACGACACCUUGGGGCAUCCCAGGGUGUGGAAAGAAUUUCGGUCAAGGAUGAGCUCGCGGCCUAUCAGCUAGUUGGUGAGGUAAUGGCUCACCAAGGCGACGACGGGUAGCCGGCCUGAGAGGGUGACCGGCCACACUGGAACUGAGACACGGUCCAGACUCCUACGGGAGGCAGCAGUGGGGAAUAUUGCACAAUGGGCGAAAGCCUGAUGCAGCAACGCCGCGUGAGGGAUGAAGGCCUUCGGGUUGUAAACCUCUUUUAGCAGCGAAGAAGCGAAAGUGACGGUACCUGCAGAAAAAGCACCGGCUAACUACGUGCCAGCCGCCGCGGUAA
rnacentral:rRNA from 1 species